GGGUCAUUAGUAUAGUGGUAGUAUGCCUGCUUCGGGCUUGCAGGUGACCCCGGUUCAAACCCGGGAUGACCCC
rnacentral:tRNA from 1 species